rnacentral:ncRNA from 1 species
UUUCAAGCAAUUGGUAAAGGUUUUACUUAGCGGUGAAUUAAUAGGGAAUCGUGUGCAAAUCACGAGCUGUCGCGCAACUGUAAGUAACACAAUAAGUUUUUACCCAUAAUGGCCACUGUGCAAACGGGAAGGCCGGUAAAAACCGUUACAAGUCAGGAUACCUGCCUUUACUGAAUUGACGAU